GACGAACGCUGGCGGCGUGCUUAACACAUGCAAGUCGAACGGAAAGGCCCUGCUUUUGUGGGGUGCUCGAGUGGCGAACGGGUGAGUAACACGUGAGUAACCUGCCCUUGACUUUGGGAUAACUUCAGGAAACUGGGGCUAAUACCGGAUAGGAGCUCCUGCUGCAUGGUGGGGGUUGGAAAGUUUCGGCGGUUGGGGAUGGACUCGCGGCUUAUCAGCUUGUUGGUGGGGUAGUGGCUUACCAAGGCUUUGACGGGUAGCCGGCCUGAGAGGGUGACCGGCCACAUUGGGACUGAGAUACGGCCCAGACUCCUGCGGGAGGCAGCAGUGGGGUAUAUUGCACAAUGGGCGGAAGCCUGAUGCAGCAACGCCGCGUGCGGGAUGACGGCCUUCGGGUUGUAAACCGCUUUCGCCUGUGACGAAGCGUGAGUGACGGUAAUGGGUAAAGAAGCACCGGCUAACUACGUG
rnacentral:rRNA from 1 species